rnacentral:rRNA from 1 species
UUAACACAUGCAAGUCGAACGAUGAAGGAGGAGCUUGCUCCUCUGGAUUAGUGGCGAACGGGUGAGUAACACGUGAGCAAUCUGCCCCUGACUCUGGGAUAAGCGUUGGAAACGACGUCUAAUACCGGAUACGAGCUGAGAAGGCAUCUUCAGCAGCUGGAAAGAACUUCGGUCAGGGAUGAGCUCGCGGCCUAUCAGGUAGUUGGUGAGGUAAUGGCUCACCAAGCCUACGACGGGUAGCCGGCCUGAGAGGGUGACCGGCCACACUGGGACUGAGACACGGCCCAGACUCCUACGGGAGGCAGCAGUGGGGAAUAUUGCACAAUGGGCGGAAGCCUGAUGCAGCAACGCCGCGUGAGGGACGAAGGCCUUCGGGUUGUAAACCUCUUUUAGCAGGGAAGAAGCGAAAGUGACGGUACCUGCAGAAAAAGCACCGGCUAACUACGUGCCAGCAGCCGCGGUAAUACGUAGGGUGCGAGCGUUAUCCGGAAUUAUUGGGCGUAAAGAGCUCGUAGGCGGUCUGUCGCGUCUGCUGUGAAAACCCGAGGCUCAACCUCGGGCUUGCAGUGGGUACGGGCAGACUAGAGUGUGGUAGGGGAGAUUGGAAUUCCUGGUGUAGCGGUGGAAUGCGCAGAUAUCAGGAGGAACACCGAUGGCGAAGGCAGAUCUCUGGGCCAUUACUGACGCUGAGGAGCGAAAGCGUGGGGAGCAAACAGGCUUAGAUACCCUGGUAGUCCACGCCGUAAACGUU